UAAAUUUUGUUGAAAUAUUUAUUUUGAUUUUUAGAAAUAUUUUUUUUUAAUAGUUUUAAAUUUUUGUUUAGUUAUUACCGGAAGGGGGUGAGUAGUUUGUAAAAAGAUGAGGUGAAACUGUUGUAAUACCUUUUGUAUCAUGGUUGGACUAAGAAAAGUGUUUAUUUUAGUUUCUAGAAAAAAAAAGAAACUUAAAUGAUGUUAAAAAGAACUUCAGAGUAGUUGUUUUAUUAACUUUCUUAUACUUUUAGGUUGAAAUGAGAUGUUUCGGUUUUUUUGAUAGCUAGUUGCUUCUUAAAUCUUUUUAGAGAUUUAGAAAGAGGGUAAUCUUUUUUCUUUUGAAGAAAUGUUUGUAUUUAUUUUAUAUUUAGGAUUAGAAGUCUUUUUAAUUAAUGAAUGUGUAAUAACUUAUAAUUGGUUUCUUUUUUUUCUGUUUUGGGAAGUUGUUUAUAGAACUUUUUUUUAAAAGAAAGAAUGUUUAAAUUAGUAUUUGUGUUUUUUUCCUUUUUAUGAAUUCGGCAAUAAAAGGUUUGACUGUUUUCAAAAACAUAGUUUUUUGGUGUUUUAAUAAAAAAUGUUUUCUGCUCGGUGAUUUUAAACAGCCGCGGUAAUUUGACCGUGCAAAGGUAGCAUAAUCAUUUGCUCUAUAAUUGAGGGCUAGUAUGAAUGGAAUUACAAAGUCUUUGCUUUAUUAAAAGGAAAGAGAGAACUUGCUUUUUUGGUGAAGAAGCUAGAAUUUUUUUAUGGGACAAGAAGACCCUUUUGAGCUUUAUUAAAUAAUUUCUUUUUUAGAUGUGCUUAAUUUGGUUGGGGCGACCAAGGAAGAAUGAUCUUCCUUUUUUUAUUCUGAUCCAAAGGUUUUGAUUAAUAGAAUAAGUUACCAAAGGGAUAACAGCGUAAUUUUUUUUGUGAGUUCUUAUUAAAAGAAAAGAUUGCGACCUCGAUGUUGACUUAUAGUUUCCUUUUGGUGCAGUAGCUAAAAUGGUGGGUCUGUUCGACCUUUAAAACUUUACGUGAGUUGAGUUCAGACCGGUGUGAGCCAGGUUGGUUUCUAUCUUUAAUUUUUUAUAAAGUUUUUUAGUACGAAAGGAUUAAAAACUUUUUUGU
rnacentral:rRNA from 1 species